UCUAGAACUGUCGGGUAGGGGAGUGGCCAUGAUCUUGGGGUCACUGGGGAAAGAGGUGGCCCUUUGUGGGUUCCAGAGGUCGGGACUGAAAGCGAACGUCCCUCAGUUGGGUGGCCGGGAGUUGCACCAGUUAUAAGCCGGGCGUAUUUCGAUCGGCUAGUAGUUGUUUACUUGGUGAGGUUUGCGCCAGGCGGAAGGCGGUUGCCGCCUACCUAAAAUUGGAGUCAGCAGCACUUAGUUUCCCUUUCCAGUGAGGAAUAUCUAAUUCUUCUACGGUUAAGCCGGGAAAACAGCGGCUAGUUUAGGAGGGAAGAAAACCCUUGGGCAAACGCCCAAAGCCUGCGUAUAUUCCGGCCGGAGCAUCCUGGCGCCCAGUUUGGGGAGGAGGGGUGAAGGGGAGGGUUUGGAUACGAAGCCCGGCAGGGAGCGGGUAACUCCUGGAGCCACUCCGCCGAGCACUGCCUGUGGCCCUGGUCGAGGAUACCAUUCUGGUUGCUCAGUGAUUGACCAGGAGGCGGAAGCCAGUUAAGGGGACCAAGGAGUGGAGUAGGGAGAACCUCCAUCGGCCCACGGGCGCGAGUUAGUGUUCGAAUCUUUGGGAGCUCGAAGAGCUUCGCUAAAUCUGACUCCCUUCGUCUAGUCUCUGUUUGGCAGCCCCCGCGCCCCAGAGCAGGUGUUUGGGGCGGGUAGGGGGUGUUUUGGUUUGGUUUUUGGAUCUUCUAAAGGAGUCAGUAUCUAUUGGGAAACAACCCCUAGGCAAGGAGAAGAACCGGGGGCCGGAGCGGAGCGUGUUUCAGAGAAUCCUUGUGGGGGCGGGGAGGGGAAGAGCACCGGUGCGAACCCCGGGGUGCCCCCUCGCCCGACUUGGACUUCUCCGACUAAAGAGGUGGGAGGAGUUCCCUGCAGCCUGCGGGGCCAAGAAGAAAGUGCUAAGCUGAGGAGCCGCAGUCGGAGGACCCCAGGGACCCGACAGGAAGUCUCCGUACGACCCCAACGGAUCCACAUGCCCGGAAGCCCAGGCGACACUAAGCCAGCGCUGGGGAACUGACGUACUCCUGCAGUCGCAGGGCGCUCCAUGCCUCUCUGUCCUCUUCUUUGUUGUGGGUAACGUUCUCUGCGGGAGACCUGAGGUUUUCCAAGGGGGACAUGCCAGCUACACUGGCCUUGGCGCCCUGAGCUAAGCACCAGGACUCACAGCCUAGCACGAAGGCAGGUAGCACCUUCACCCGCCGCGGACGAUAGGCGCUCUCCUGUACCUCCUUUAGCUCGCGAGGCCCGCCCUUCGCGAGGUCCCAGAGAAAAGCAGGCUGUGGAAAACUGGGCGCCCCCUUCUUUCACCCACCUUCUUACCCCUGUCAGCGCCGAGAUCUGUAGCAGAGGUUCCUGGUCUGAACCACCGAUUGGCAAAGAAAGCUGCAGAUUAAACUUCUCGUUUUACAGAGAAGGAAACUGAGGCCCAGACAGCCGAAGGAGAGGCAGUCUAUGGAGCGCAGCGGUAAAGAGCAAGGGGUUGGUGGCCCCAGAAUGGAACCUCAGCUCUGCCAGGUAACCAACAGCUGUGUGACCCUAGACGAGUUCCGCAGUCUCUCUGAGCCUCAGUUUCCUUACUGGUCAAACGGGAUAAUGGGAUACUAGCGCCCACCUCAUAGAGUUGUUCUGAGGAUUAGAUAGGAGAGCAGUGUGGGCCUUUGACUCAAUCAACUUUACAGUUUUUGUUACUACUACUGUUUAAGGACAGGAAACAAGUUAGUGGCAACGCCGAGCUGAAACCCGGGUCUCUCAACGUCCAGUUGGAGGUUUUACCCACCACCCCUCUACCUCUUCAGAGCUAAUGGGAUGCAGAGGCGAGGACAGCCCCUGGAAAACCAUGUGGCGUUGAUACACUGGCAAAGCGCAGGCAUCCCGGCCUCGAAGGUGCAUAAUUAUUGCAAUAUGAAAAAAUCGAGGCUGGGUAGGAGCAGGGCAGUGAGGAUUUCUCAACCCUUACUUUCACCCCGGCGCUGUCCACUGCAUCUGACAGAGCGCGGAGCUGGGCUGCUACAGCCGCAACCCCAGGGACCAGUGCGCACGCCUGGGCCGCCCUCCGGGAGUCACCCAGCGGCCGCGGACAACUGAAUAAACACCCCAAAGCGCUGCGGUCGGUCAAGGGCGGGGACAGCCACACUGCGCGCGGGGCCCGCAGGCCGUAAUAAAGAGUGGCUCGACCUCGCUGCUGCCUGUCGCGGGAGAGGAACAAGCUUUCGACUAGCGCCUCUCCCCGGGGCCCGCGCCCCGAGCCCCACGCGCAAGACAGCCCAACAGCUGUUCCUCCCCUCCCCGCCGACUCCAACUCUUCGGAAUCUGCCCACUCGGGGCUGCAGGGCAAGUGUUUAGGAUGGUUCCCAGCCCCGCGCUGGCGGUGAAAAUUUCAAC